rnacentral:rRNA from 1 species
AGAGUUUGAUCAUGGCUCAGUCUAAACGCUGGCGGCAUGGCUAAAGCAUGCAAGUCGAGGGAUACCUUCGGGUAGACCGGCGGAAGGGCGAGUAAUGGUACCGAACGUGCCCCAGGGUGGGGGAUAGCCGCGGGAAACUGCGGGUAAUACUCCAUGUGCUCUACGGAGGAAAGCUCAGGCGCCCCGGGAGCGGCGGUACUCCUAUCAGGUAGUUGGCGGGGUAAUGGCCCACCAAGCCGAAGACGGGUAGCGGGUGUGAGAGCACGGCCCGCCGCAUCGGGACUGAGACACUGCCCGGACUCCUACGGGAGGCUGCAGCAACGAAUCUUCCGCAAUGCACGAAAGUGUGACGGAGCAAUGCCGCGUGCGGGAUGAAGCGGCUUCGCCGUGUAAACCGCUGUCAGGACCCAGAAAGAACUGAUCGGGUCCAGAGGAAGGGCCGGCUAAUCUCGUGCCAGCAGCCGCGGUAAUACGAAAGGCCCGAGCGUUAGACGGAAUCACUGGGCUUAAAGGGUGCGUAGGCGGAUAUGCCAAGCGUGUUGUGAAAGCCCUCGGCUCAACCGAGGAAUCGCGGUGCGAACUGCAUAUCUUGAGGAAGGUAGGGGCCGGCGGAACGUUCGGUGGAGCGGUGAAAUGCGUAGAUAUCGGACGGAACGCCUAUGGUGAAGACAGCCGGCUGGGCCUUGCCUGACGCUGAGGCACGAAAGCGUGGGGAGCAAACAGGAUUAGAUACCCUGGUAGUCCACGCCGUAAACGAUGCGCACUGGAUCGGUGCGGGUCUGACCCCGUGCUGGUCGGAGAGAAAUUGGUAAGUGCGCCGCCUGGGAAGUACGGUCGCAAGGCUAAAACUCAAAGGAAUUGACGGGGGCUCACACAAGCGGUGGAGCAUGUUGCUUAAUUCGAAGCAACGCGAAGAACCUUACCUGGGCUUGACAUGCACGGAUUAGUCUUUGGAAACAGGGAUGACGCCUUCGGGUGGAACGUGCACAGGUGCUGCAUGGCUGUCGUCAGCUCGUGCUGUGAAGUGUCGGGUUAAGUCCCUUAACGAGCGCAACCCUUGUCGCUAGUUGCCAGCGAGUCAUGUCGGGGACUCUAGCGAGACUGCCGGUGUCAAACCGGAGGAAGGUGGGGAUGACGUCAAGUCCUCAUGGCCCUUACGCCCAGGGUGGCAAACGUGCUACAAUGGCACGGACAGAGCGAUGCGAGGCCGCGAGGCGGAGCAAAUCGCAAAAACUGUGCCCCAGUUCGGAUUGUAGUCUGCAACUCGACUACAUGAAGCCGGAAUCGCUAGUAAUCGCGGAUCAGCCAUGCCGCGGUGAAUACGUUCCUGAGCCUUGUACACACCGCCCGUCACGUCAUGGAAGCUGGGAGUGCCCGAAGUCGCCAUAUCUCAAUGGUGCCCACGGCAAGCUCGGUGACUGGGACGAAGUCGUAACAAGGUAACC